rnacentral:rRNA from 1 species
AUUGAACGCUGGCGGCAUGCUUUACACAUGCAAGUCGAACGGCAGCGGGGGCUUCGGCCUGCCGGCGAGUGGCGAACGGGUGAGUAAUGCAUCGGAACGUGCCCAUGUCGUGGGGGAUAACGUAGCGAAAGCUACGCUAAUACCGCAUACGUCCUGAGGGAGAAAGCGGGGGGAUCUUCGGACCUCGCGCGAUUGGAGCGGCCGAUGUCGGAUUAGCUAGUAGGUGAGGUAAAGGCUCACCUAGGCGACGAUCCGUAGCGGGUCUGAGAGGAUGAUCCGCCACACUGGGACUGAGACACGGCCCAGACUCCUACGGGAGGCAGCAGUGGGGAAUUUUGGACAAUGGGCGCAAGCCUGAUCCAGCCAUGCCGCGUGAGUGAAGAAGGCCUCGGUUGUAAGUA